AAGGUAACGGCUUACCAAGGCAACGAUGCAUAGCCGACCUGAGAGGGUGAUCGGCCACACUGGAACUGAGACACGGUCCAGACUCCUACGGGAGGCAGCAGUAGGGAAUCUUCCGCAAUGGGCGAAAGCCUGACGGAGCAACGCCGCGUGAGUGAUGAAGGUCUUCGGAUCGUAAAACUCUGUUAUUAGGGAAGAACAUAUGUGUAAGUAACUGUGCACAUCUUGACGGUACCUAAUCAGAAAGCCACGGCUAACUACGUGCCAGCAGCCGCGGUAAUACGUAGGUGGCAAGCGUUAUCCGGAAUUAUUGGGCGUAAAGCGCGCGUAGGCGGUUUUUUAAGUCUGAUGUGAAAGCC
rnacentral:rRNA from 1 species